rnacentral:misc_RNA from 1 species
UUUUAUGUAUGUUACAUCAGAACUUUUGACCGGGUGGACCGAUUUCGACAAAUUUUGUUUUAAUCAAAAGGUGGUGUGUGCCAAGUGGUCCCAUUUAAAUUUAUUUGAGAUCUAACAACUACUUUUCGAGCUAUAUCUAAUAAUGCGUUUUUACUUGACGCUUUUUUCGUCGACCUACGUUGUAUUAUACCGCAUAACUUUCUACUGGAUGUACCGAUUUUAAUAAUUCUUUUUUUGUUGGAAAGGGGAUAUCCCUAGUUUAGUACCAUGAUAAGAAAACCAGGAUCUGAUGAUGGGAUCUCAGAGAAAUCGAGGGAAACUCUCGAAAAUCCGCAAUAACUUUUUACUGGGUGUAUCGAUUUUGAUAAUUUUUAAUUUAAUCGAAAGCUGAUUUUUGUCAUGUGGUCACAUAUAAAUUUCAUUGAGAUCUGAUAACUACUUUUUGAGUAAUCUUUGAUAACGCGCAGUUACUUAAGUAUUUUUUCGUCGAUCUACAUUGUAUUACUCGUCGAUGUAAUUGAAGUCGUUUUUUUUUCGUUUGCGAGCAAACACAGUUAUUUUUAUUUUUUUUAGUUUUUAGUAUAUAUAUUAUUUAAUAUUUAUUUUCUGACUUAAUAAAAAAUGCGCGACGGGUACACUACAUGCAUUUACAUGCAUUUCAAAUGUACAGUAACAAUAUUUUUAGAAUACGUACACAUUAGAUUGUAAUAUGGUUUUAGAAUUUAUUAGAAGUAAAUCGCCUAGUGACAAACAACAAAAGCAUAAUAAGAAACUCGUCAACAAUAGGUCUAUGUUUGAUCAUUUGGAAAUGUAUGUGUGAGUUUAAACAGAAACGACGCGGUCAUAGUUUACUUUGUAUUAAUUAACCAGUUAGCGUGCAUCGUAAACUUCAAUAAAAGGGAAGUUUUUUGGUAUAAAUAGAAUAGUUGUGGUAGAUCACAAAGAUUUGAAGAAAAUUCAUUAAACUCGAAACACAUAAUUGAAUUUAUUUUUUAUUUUGUAUAAAUGUACUAAUAAAAUUUGCAACAAAAUAUAUAAAAA